rnacentral:rRNA from 1 species
AUUGAACGCUGGCGGCAUGCCUUACACAUGCAAGUCGAACGGCAGCACGGGAGCAAUCCUGGUGGCGAGUGGCGAACGGGUGAGUAAUAUAUCGGAACGUGCCCAGUCGUGGGGAUAACGUAGCGAAAGCUACGCUAAUACCGCAUACGAUCUAUGGAUGAAAGCGGGGGGAUCGCAAGACCUCGCGCGAUUGGAGCGGCCGAUAUCAGAUUAGGUAGUUGGUGAGGUAAAGGCUCACCAAGCCGACGAUCUGUAGCUGGUCUGAGAGGACGACCAGCCACACUGGGACUGAGACACGGCCCAGACUCCUACGGGAGGCAGCAGUGGGAAUUUUGGACAAUGGGCGCAAGCCUGAUCCAGCAAUGCCGCGUGCAGGAUGAAGGCCUUCGGUUGUAAC